CUCAGUUCGGAUUGGAGUCUGCAACCCGACUCCAUGAAGCUGGAUUCGCGAGUAAUCGCGCAUCAGCCACGGCGCGGUGAAUACGUUCCCGGGCCUUGUACACACCGCCCGUCAAGCCAUGGAAGCCGGGGGUGCCUGAAGUGCGCUGCCGCGAGGAGCGCCCUAGGGUAAAACCGGUGACUGGGGCUAAGUCGUAACAAGGUAGC
rnacentral:rRNA from 1 species